rfam:Pseudomonas fluorescens F113, complete genome.
UUUUAUGGCGGCUGUGUGUGGGGAGACCUUCGGGUCUGCCGAGGUUUUUUUGGUGGUUCCUACUCGGUCUUGCACACCCUCACAUAGCUGCCACCCUU